GAUCAUGGCUCAGGACGAACGCUGGCGGCGUGCCUAAUACAUGCAAGUCGAGCGAAUGAUUAGAGAAGCUUGCUUCUCUCUGAUUUAGCGGCGGACGGGUGAGUAACACGUGGGUAACCUACCCUAUAGACUGGGAUAACUUCGGGAAACCGGAGCUAAUACCGGAUAAUACUUCGAAACACAUGUUUUGAAGUUGAAAGAUGGUUUCGGCUAUCACUAUAGGAUGGACCCGCGGCGCAUUAGCUAGUUGGUGAGGUAACGGCUCACCAAGGCAACGAUGCGUAGCCGACCCGAGAGGGUGAUCGGCCACACUGGGACUGAGACACGGCCCAGACUCCUACGGGAGGCAGCAGUAGGGAAUCUUCCACAAUGGACGAAAGUCUGAUGGAGCAACGCCGCGUGAAGUGAAGAAGGAUUUCGGUUCGUAAAACUCUGUUGCAAGGGAAGAACAAGUAGCGUAGUAACUGGCGCUACCUUGACGGUACCUUGUUAGAAAGCCACGGCUAACUACGUGCCAGCAGCAGC
rnacentral:rRNA from 1 species